UCCUUUCAUUUGUUUUUUCUUUAGAAGGAUUUUAUUAUUCUUCUCGAAAGAGCGUAGAAAGAUACAGAGCAUUGGUUGUUUGUUCGAAACCUUUUCUGUUUUCUCCGUAUUUGUUCUUCAAUCUCGUCUUCAUCCACAACCUCUCUUUCCCUGAAGAUUUUCGAGCUGCGAUAACUGUUCUGAUCGAUAAAAUCACGGCUACAGCUGGAAACAAGAACAUCAACGCGAAACUGGUGGUACUUGGAGAUGUUGGCCCGGGAAAGUCGAAUCUUGUGUUACGGUUUGUUAAAGAUCAGUUUGUUGAGUUCCAGGAAUCAACCAUAGCCCAUAGGUGUAGCUUUUUUCUCACAAGCGUUAGCUGUUAACGAGGCGACUGUCAAGUUUCAGAUAUAGGAUACGGCUGGUCAGGAACGGUACCAUAGUUUGGCUCCGAUGUACUACAGGGCUGCCGCUGCUGCAGUUGUUGUCUUUGACGUUACAAAUCAAGCGUCGUUUGAGAGGGCAAAGAAAUGGGUUCAGGAACUGCAGGCGCAAUACUUUAUAUCAUGGUAACGCUAAUAUGGUAGUGGCCCUUGCUGGAAACAAAUCUGAUUUAUUAGAUGCAAGGAAGGUGACUGUAGAGGAGGCACAAACAUAUGCUCAGGAGAACGGUCUUUUUUUCAUGGAAACUUCUGCAAAAACCGCAGUUAAUGUCAAAGAGAUAUUCUUUGAGAUCGCAAGAAAGUUACCACGAGUACAACCAACAGAAACCCAACAGGAAUGGUUUUACCAGACAGGGCCAUGGAUUGGACAGUGAGUUCAUUUUGUUGUGUUUAUAGUUAUACUUAUACGUACAGUAUUGACAAACACUUCUCUUGUAAGAGACCUUUUGGUCAGUCACUAAGGAGUUGUGGACUUCUGUGUUUGAUAAGCUUUGUUCAGCUUGUAGACAUUUAAUUAACCA